UCUCUCUUUCCGGUCCCUGCCAACCUGGGCCCGCAGGAAGACAGGAGGCACUGCCCUCCCCUUGGCUGCCGCUGCCGCUGCGGUUUCCGGCGCCCACACCGGAGGCUGCACUUCUUGAGGCGCCGCAGCUUCGGAGGUGGAGGCGAAAGCGGACUCCUUCGCAGGCGAACCCAUCCCAGCUCACCAGAACUACGAAACACCGAAAUAGCAUCAAGAUCAGUAACAAGAAGAAGAAAGCAAACGCCAACGACUUGCGAUUGGAGAAAGAGAAUGCAUAUGACGGUAAUCGCGGAACCGGCGUCGGCGGCCAAGAAACUAGGUUGGGGCGAGGAGGGUGAAUGGGCGGAUUAUAUGGAGAGGAGUGUGGGGCAUGGCUUGCCCAGUAUGGCAAACUCUACUUGCAAACGGAGAGAGAGAGAGAGAGGAAGAGGAAGGAAGGGUGACUGCGAUCGCCGAUUUUGGAUCGGCGGAGGGAUAGAAUCCAAAAGAGGAA